rfam:Trichobilharzia regenti genome assembly, scaffold: TRE_scaffold0002404
GUACUGACGAAGAGUCCCAAACUAGGACGAAACAACUGUUCAGUAC